rnacentral:lncRNA from 1 species
GGAUGUGCUGACACUUGUUCUUCCCAAAGGUUUUAAAGCCACCAUUAAAAUAAAAUAAAAAUGUUGAAUUUUGAGAUCUGGGUCUUGGAGUUCUAUGCUGGUUCUGUCCCACUAAGAGUUGCAGAUUAUUAACAUUACCUCCCUAAUUGCGCUGGCAUCAACUAAAAUUUUGGUGCAUUUACCAGCGUCAUGAAAAAAUACUUAAUGGUUGAGACCUUUAUUUGCCAUGAUGGAACCUUGUGAGGGUUGUGUUCGAAACCAACAGCCCUGCAAACUUGGAUUAUACGUUGGACCAGAAUUAGUGAUUGGGUAUCAUUAUUUGUGAGGAAGAGGAUCAGAAUGUUGUGUUCUGUAAUUGAUCAAAGCUUUUGGUUGUGGUACACUUAAAUAUGGAGUUUACAACACAAUUGUGUGGACCAUGAAAGAUUAAGAACUUGGAUUAUGAUGCAAAACAGAUUUUUCUUAAUGAAAGCUGUGGGUUUCCUUUACCAUUCCAAGCCCAAUGAUUUGGAGGAUCAUGAGAAGAGUUGAAUUGUUCACCUUCUCAGGAUGUGGAAAAGGCCCUUUUUGCUCAUUCACUGAAGGUUCCAUAUCUCGUCCAGCGAACGCCAGCUCAGCUUUAUCUUUACAUUUCUGAAGAAUAAAAACAAAAAUAAAAUGCUGCUUCUUUAUAGAAGUAGACAGUGAAGGAGGGGAACUAUUGUUCUCGAAGUUCCCUGCCUAUGUAUAAAGCCUUCAUGCACUGGUCUUAUUCAGAAGUACUCAUAUUGAUGCCUUGGAGAACAAACCCAUUGAGUCUGACAAGGAAAACUUAGAAUCUGUAUAGGAAGCGGUACCUUCUAUUCGGGCUUG